UUUUUUUUUUUUUUACUGUUUCUACAUUAUCAUUUAUAGUAAGAUAUAGACAUUAAUGAGUUAUAUAAUGAGUACAGAUCAAAAAAUAAUUAGCAAAAUGAAAAGGUAGAGUACUGUUUGUUUUAUUUUGCUUUGGUUUGUAUGUUGACCACCUUUCUGUUCUCUGUUUCCAGUGUCACAUUAGCAAUAUAUUAUAACAUUAAAAACAGGGACUCUGACAGGUCAUUGGACAUCUUUGAUGAAAAAAUGCACCCCUUAUCUAGGGAGCAGGUUCCUGAUGAUUACUCCCGCACAGACCCCGAACACAAACUCAUCUAUCGAUUCGUCCGGACCACCUGUUAUCAGU